GAACAAGAAGGAGCAUGCUUUUAUAUUGCACAUGGAUUCUAUUCUACUUUUUGGGUAAGAGGGUUUUAAGACUUUAAUCAGAUUCAGUCAGGAAAGUAUUAUCACCAGUCACUCACUAUCUCUUCUCUGAAUUACAGGUGUCAAGUCUGACGUUCAGUUGUCACAGCCCAGUUUUCAUGCUGGAAUGUAUGGAGAAGACAUACUUAUAUCAUGUGAAGCUUCUGGAUAUGUGUUUACUGAUUUUUAUCUGGCAUGGCUCAAGCAUGUUCCAGGGAAAGAGCUUCAGUAUAUAGGAUAUAUCUGGCCUUCUUCUCAAUCACACAGAGCAUUUGUGGAAAAUAUCAGAAUGACAACUAAUAAUGCAAACAGGAUGGGAUACCUGCAAAUAAAAAAUGUUAAUUUUGGAGAUACUGCUAUUUAUUACUGUGCUAGAGAAGCACAGUGCAUAUUCUCACCUU